AUUGAACGCUGGCGGCAGGCCUAACACAUGCAAGUCGAACGAGUGGCGGACGGGUGAGUAAUGUCUGGGAAACUGCCUGAUGGAGGGGGAUAACUACUGGAAACGGUAGCUAAUACCGCAUACCAUCGGAUGUGCCCAGAUGGGAUUAGCUAGUAGGUGGGGUAACGGCUCAACUAGGCGACGAACCCUAGCUGGUCUGAGAGGAUGACCAGCCAGACUGGAACUGAGACACGGUCCAGAUUCCUACGGGAGGCAGCAGUGGGGAAUAUUGCACGAUGGGCGCAAGACUGAUGCAGCCAUGCCGCGAGUAUGAAGAAGGCCUUCGGGUUGUAAAGUACUUUCAGCGGGGAGGCGUUACCCGCAGAAGAAGCACCGGCUAACUCCGUGCCAGCAGCCGCGGUAAUAC
rnacentral:rRNA from 1 species